CAAGUCGUGGGGCAGCAUGGGGUAGCAAUACCCUGAUGGCGACCGGCAAACGGGUGCGGAACACGUACGCAACCUUCCUUUAACUGGAGAAUAGCCCCUCGAAAGAGGGAUUAAUACUCCGUAACAUGAUGAUAAGGCAUCUUAUUAUUAUUAUAGCUCCGGCGGUUAGAGAUGGGCGUGCGCCUGAUUAGGUAGUUGGCGGGGUAACGGCCCACCAAGCCUGCGAUCAGUAACUGGUGUGAGAGCACGACCAGUCACACGGGCACUGAGACACGGGCCCGACUCCUACGGGAGGCAGCAGUAAGGAAUAUUGGUCAAUGGACGCAAGUCUGAACCAGCCAUGCCGCGUGGAGGAUUAAGGCCCUCUGGGUUGUAAACUCCUUUUAUCUGGGAGAAAUCCAUAUAUUCUUAUAUGGUUGACGGUACCAGAGGAAUAAGCACCGGCUAACUCCGUGCCAGCAGCCGCGGUAAUACGGAGGGUGCAAGCGUUAUCCGGAUUCACUGGGUUUAAAGGGUGCGUAGGCGGGUAAGUAAGUCCGUGGUGAAAUCUCUGAGCUUAACUCAGAAACUGCCGUGGAUACUAUUUGCCUUGAAUAUUGUGGAGGUGAGCGGAAUAUGUCAUGUAGCGGUGAAAUGCUUAGAUAUGACAUAGAACACCAAUUGCGAAGGCAGCUCACUACACAAUCAUUGACGCUGAGGCACGAAAGCGUGGGGAUCAAACAGGAUUAGAUACCCUGGUAGUCCACGCCCUAAACGAUGAUUACUCGACAUCAGCGAUACACUGUUGGUGUCUGAGCGAAAGCAUUAAGUAAUCCACCUGGGAAGUAC
rnacentral:rRNA from 1 species